rnacentral:rRNA from 1 species
UACGAAGGGGGCUAGCGUUGCUCGGAAUCACUGGGCGUAAAGGGCGCGUAGGCGGCCAAGUAAGUUGGGGGUGAAAGCCCGUGGCUCAACCACGGAAUUGCCUUCGAUACUGCUUGGCUUGAGACCGGAAGAGGUGAGUGGAACUGCGAGUGUAGAGGUGAAAUUCGUAGAUAUUCGCAAGAACACCAGUGGCGAAGGCGGCUCACUGGUCCGGAUCUGACGCUGAGGAGCGAAAGCGUGGGGAGCGAACAGG